rnacentral:rRNA from 1 species
ACGGGGUGAGUAACGCGUGGGUAACCUGCCUUACACAGGGGGGAUAACACUUAGAAAUAGGUGCUAAUACCGCAUGAGCGCACAGGACCGCAUGGUCGAGUGUGAAAAACUGAGGUGGUGUAAGAUGGACCCGCGUCUGAUUAGCUAGUUGGUGAGGUAACGGCCCCACCAAGGCGACGAUCAGUAGCCCCGGCCUGAGAGGGUGGACGGCCACAUUGGGACUGAGACACGGCCCAAACUCCUACGGAAGGCAGCAG